rnacentral:misc_RNA from 1 species
UAAUAAGUGGUUUAUGGCACUUUUUAAAUCCAUAUCCACCUUGUGUGACAAUGUCAGGUCGAUCUUCUUAUUGGAGGAUCGACCAAACAUCAACCUUUAUCUUUUAUACCUCUUUGUCUCUGAAAAAUAUUAUGAAUAAACAAUUCAAAAUA